CUUCAACGACCCGAGGUACAGCGGCAGUUCACGCUCCUGCCCGUACGUGGCCAGCAGCGCCUGCGCCUC
rfam:Streptomyces rimosus subsp. rimosus ATCC 10970 contig00148, whole genome shotgun sequence.